CAGACACAUUGUGCAAGAACAUUGCCAACGACCUGCAUCAGAGAUGGGAGUCUGCACUGGGACUGACACUUGACUUAGCCUGUUAAGGACUGCAGUGUUAUUCCAACGAACUUGAAGUGGGUCAGAGAAGGAAGAAAUAAGGGAAAAAAUAAACAACUCCAAACAUACAGAUCUACCUGAAAUGGUCACCCUCCUGUGCACAAGAACCAUUCCCUCGUGGCUGGACCACAGAAGGACAUGAGAGGUUUGGGACACAGCUGGGGUGACCUGGGAAGCCACAAGGUGCAUCAUGCUUCCUGUGCUG